AUGUGCUCACGUAUCGUCCGGCCACGCAGGGACCCGGGACGCUCAGCCCUUUCUGCGCCCUCGCCCUCUCCAGGGCGGCACCUGACCAGAACUGUAAGCAGACGCCGCCAGCACCCCGGAAGACGGGCUAUGGUUUUCCGGCCACCUCCUGCCCGUUUCUCAUUAAAGCUUGAGAAGGAGGAGGGUGGUUGUGUCCCAGGAGCUGGGCUGGCACCCUCAGUGAGGUUGCGAGGCUCUCCUGGAGAACACAAACCAUUCCUCAGGACAUCAGCAGCAGGCAAGACCCCAGAUGGUCCCAUCAAGACAAAGACAAGCCACUCCAGAAUCUUGUCUGAAUGCAGACAGAUGGGAGCGUCUCUCAGGCCAGGAGUGCCAGCCGUGUCGUCUCCUAGCCCACAUGGUGACUGCUGCUUUGGCCUUGGUGACAGCCUGUCCUGCUCUUGGCAGGCCUCCUGGGGGAUGAGGUUUAUGAAGAUUCCAGUGUAUACGUACCUCCCCCUGCUUCCUGACAGUGCUCAACUCAGAGCCAGCCCCCUCUCCCCUUAGUCCACCCCUGGCCAGCUGGCACACAAACACAGCCUGUGGCAAGGCUCUUUCUAGCCUCUCACGAUACCCUCCGCAGCGCCAUGGCACAUUCUUGCAGAAUGGAACAGUAAAUCCAGUUGUAGUUGAACAACAGGUGCGUCUCUGGUAGGCACACUAGGCAGCAGCUCAUUGGCCUGUAUUUAAAAUAUGAACGUGUGCAUGACUGCAAAGGCAUAGAUCCUCACUUUCUGCAAACUGGAAUUGCUGUUCUCAAAGUUUAAAACCACAUUUGCAAUACAUGACAUCCACAGCCUGAGUGGAAGGAGACACAUGCAGGGGGUGGGCUGGGCCUGGGGGCCAGGCGACCCUUGGGCAGAGAAUGUGGGAGCAUGGAGAGGGUGUGUGGGGCAGGAAGGGUCACGGAGUGCUUUGAGCAAAGAGUGUGUGAUCCUGUCUGCCCUUGGUGCCGUCCACUGGGGCUGGUCAGCGAGGGCGAGUCCAUCAUGGUGAUGGGGACACGUGACAAAACUAGAAGCCUUGGGGGAGCUGGGCGAAGGGAGCAGGCACCCAUGAUGCUGCCGCUGCAGUUUUCUAUAAGUUCUUUAAUUAUUUCAAAUUAAAAUAUUUUAAAAUGACCAUGUCCCUAAAGGAGGGAUAAUAGUAAGCCACACGAUAGAGAUUAGCCUGUACUCAGACCCACUUCAGCUCCAGCUGCGAAGCUUCUGCUCUCCGAUUCCAGAGCCUGGUGGUGUUACGGAGGCCCCCGUGGAUGUUACAGCGAUGUGGAUGUUAUGCUACAGACAUCAUGGUAAUGACACUUUGGAGUCUCGGGUGAUUUCCCCGUGCUGUGCAGGCGGCAGGAUUUUCGAUUUCCCUUUUCCCACAUGAGCCCUUCCCCUACCGGGCAUCGAGACUGAGCACCCUUUGCCCCAGGCUGGAAGUCACAGAGAAGGCCAUCUACUUGUGUUUCUCCCUCCCACGGAGCUUCCCUGCCUCUGGUCAUCACCUGGGUCCCUCUCAAAGACCACAGAGGCUGCUCUCAGGUCUAACUUUCCGUCUUGGUUGUGCUGCCUACAGUGAGUUUCACACUUGCAUGUUUCAGGCAGAUAGAUGAUUGCAAAGAGUGUGGGGAUACCCUGGGUGGCUCUUUCCCCUCUGGGAUUCUUCUUCUUCCUUCUUCCUUCUUUCUUCUUCUUCCCCCUCUUCUCCCUCCCCUCUCCCUCCCUUCCCCUCCCGUUUCCCUCCCUUCCUCUCCCCCUCUCCUUCCCUUCUGUCACCCAAGCCGGAGUGCAGUAGCAAAAUGACAGCUCACUGCAGCUUUGAACUCCUGGCCUCAAGUGAUCCACCCACCUCAGCCUCCUGAGUAGCUGGGACUACAGGUGUGCACCACUACUCCCAGUUACAUUUUUAUUUUUUGUAGAGAUGGAACCUUGCUAUGUUGCCCAGGGUGAACUCAACCCCUCUGGGAUUCUACUGGGGAGUUACAGUGUCUCUGGGGCACAAGGGAUUGACUUGAUCACGACUGCCAUUUCUCAGAUGGUGACCCAGGUGCUUGAGAAGCUCAUGCCUUUCCGGGCCCAUCUCAGAGGCAGCAGGGAUGAUCAUCAAGGGUCUUCCUUGUGACUGAUGGGGAGCAACCAUUCAGGGGCCCUGGUGGGGUGCCUGGCAGGGCACAGCCUGCCACACCAUUCCAAAGGUUCAGACUGUGACCUGCACACUGCAGGUGUCCCUUGUCCAUCCCUGCAGGGAAGAGCAUGGCCAUCUCCGUUAGGCAGUGCCUUGGGUGUCCAGAUGGCUCCUGGGGUGACACUGCAGGUCUGAGAGGACUUGGAUUGGAGAAAGGAACUGGAGGGAUGGAGCAAGAUUGGGCUCACAGGCUCAGCAUCCCCAGUGAGCUGUGGUGACAUGAGCCCAAGUGGGAAUAGGUGUGUCUGCCUCUGUGGGGUCCCAAGUUGGUGCCUGGGGAGGGCAGGGCUGAGGGAUUGCUGGGAGGUGAGUGUUGAGAGGCCUAGGAGGCCACGUCCAUGAAAGGGGCUGAAUACCUGGGGUGGGGGCUGGGUCUGAGGGGAGGGGAGUAGGUAUAACUGGGGGAGCUGGUGGGAGGACUCCAGCCCAGCUGCUCAGGGGAGCCCUGAGUCACUUUGAGGGUGUGAGGAGAGUGGAGGAAGUGGACGGCCCUGGUGCCCCAGGUGAGGGAUGGGCUGCAGGGGGCCAGCCUUGUGAAGGACAGACUCAAUUUGGAGGUGAGUUCGGGAGCAUGCAGGUGGGGACCCAAGAGACCAGGGGGAUGCUGGGGCAGGUGGGGCAGAGAGACCGAAGACUGAGGCCGAGCAGGACCUGGGGGAGAGGAGAGAGGGUGUAGGGAGGAAAAAGAGGGCAGCGUCACCAACUCAUCAACUAAAGGAUGAUUGGGGCAGGCCAGGAGCUAAGCAGGCGGUGGGGUGAUGGGGGAGAUGCAGCCCCCACAGGGCAGCGGGGCCCUGGGCACUGGUUUAUGUGUGAACAGGUGGCCGAGUCCUCUAGAGGCGUGGGAAGUAAACAUGAAACCCACAACUGCACACGUGUCAUCCCUUGUUCUUGUCAUGGCGUUAAUCUCCAAGUGGCUUUGUUCUUCCCCAGGCGCAGAAUGAAGCAACCCAGGUCAUCGCUGUCCUGGAGCCGCCCCCGCCUACUUUGUCUUUUCUUCUUGGCCAGUAUUGAUGCCUGACACACACUGGUUAAUUUACAUGUAGGUCCGUAUGUUUAUUGCGGCACUAUUCACAAUAGCAAAGACUUGGAACCAACCCGAAUAUCCAUCAAUAAUAGACUGGAUUAAGAAAAUGUGGCACAUAUACACCAUGGAAUACUAUGCAGCCAUAAAAAAGGAUGAAUUCAUGUCCUUUGCAGGGACAUUGAAGCUAGAAACCAUCGUUCUCAGCAAAUUAUCACAAGGACAGAAAACCAAACACCGCAUGAUCUCACUCAUAAGUGGGAAUUGAACAAUGAGAACACUUGGAGGCAGGGUGGGGAAAGUCACACACCCAGGGCCUCUGGGGGAGGGGGUGGGGGGCUGGGGGAGGGUUAGCAUUAGGAGAAAUACCUAAUGUAAAUGACGAGUUGAUGGGUGCAGCAAGCCGACAUGGCACAUGUAUACCUAUGUAACACACCUGCACGUUAAAAAAAUUUACGUGUAGGUUAAGCCAGGGGUGUGAACUCUGGCCCUGUUCUGCCCCGAGAGACUGCUAGAUCCUGGGCUGGGUCCCCUCCCGCAGGCGCCUGGCCCCGCCCCUCCCCGCAGGCGUCGGCCCCGCCCCUCCCCGCAGGCGCCUGGCCCCGCCCCUGGCCGGGUCCCGCCCACAUCCGGAGGCUCAGGGCAGGACGCGGGCUGUUCCCGGGUUAGUCAGCAGGGGGCGCGCGGGUUGCUCUGGCCCGGCGGCUCCCGCUGAAAUCAGCACAGCAGCAGGGAGGGUGACACUGCCCCCGAUGCAGGUCAAACUACUAACAAAUGAUGUGGCCGGAGAAUACUAUACUUGACAGCACGAUGACGAACACGUCAGUAUAAAAUGAGAUCAUGAAGUAUGGUGUGCCCAGCUCUGCGGUUAGUUCACAGUGUUUUACAGAGCGUCGUUUCCAAAUGCUCAGGGAACACCAGCUACCUAUAAUAACACGUGACACGCCCCUUCGUCAACACUCAGCACAUCUGCAAUAAUGGCCCAGCCUGAUCUUCGCGUUGGAGGUGAGGACACAGGCCCUGGAGGGUUCAAGUGGCAAGGUCACAGAAGUGGGCAAAAGAGAACACAGCGCCCCCUGCCGGGACUGCCCCAGGCUCUGCAUCUAUAAUCCCUGGCUUGCUCCCCACUCGCCUCCCUGACCACAGCUCCGAGGCCUCUGAAAAGCCUGACAAGGUGGGCAGAAGGUCCCUGUGGUGUCGCCCCCAGGGCAGGGAUGGGCCAUGGAGCUUAUCCGGGAUGGCGGAGCUGGGACCCGCUGAAGGAAGCGGAGCCCUGGAGAGGGUGCAUCUCUGCCCUCACCCCCGUGGUGUGGAGUUGGAGAGCCUUGACUGCGGGGCUGGGGAAGGUGGGCAGGCCCAGGGCAGUGGGGGAGCCGCCUGCUCAGCAGGAGGGCCAGAGGGAG
rnacentral:lncRNA from 1 species